rnacentral:snoRNA from 1 species
GGACUGUGACGAUUUCUGUGAUAAGGUUUGUUCAUCGUAGUUGACCAAAUCGGCCUUGCUGACUAUUCUGCUAUAUCACCACCCAGGUUCUGAGUCC